ensembl:lncRNA
GUCUCUCUCUCUCUCUCUCUCUUCUCUGUCUCUCUCUCUCUCUCUCUCUCUCUCUCUCUCUCUCUGUCUCUCUCUCUCUCUCUCUCUCUCUCUGUCUCUGUCUCUCCUCUCUCUCUCUCUCUGUCUCUCUCUCUCUCUCUGUCUCUCUCUCUCUCUGUCUCUCUCUCUCUCUCUCUCUCUGUCUCUCUCUCUCAGUGGUGGGAUCCACUCCUGUUCUCUCUUUAACUGGAGCAGGAGGAGGACAGAUAAACGUUAGCUGUCAGUCACAUGGGUGGCUUCCUGAGCCGUCAAUCACCUGGACAGAUAAAGAGGGGAGAGAUCUGAAACAUCUGAGCAAAGACAAGUUCAGCAACAGUUCUGAAGGGGUUGUGGAUGUGUCCUCGUGGCUGAUUGUGUCUCCCUCGGAGUCUGAGUGGAUCUCCUGCUCUGUGGGUUUGUCUGAUCAGGAGAGAAAAGAAGGCAGAAUAAUGUUAUUCGUCCCUGCAGGUGUCACGGAGUCGUGGAGUGGAUACUUCAUUGUGAUUCCCAUCCUUCUUCUUCUUCUUCUUCUUCUGCUGUGUGCUGCCGGAAUUACAGUGUAUCGUAAAAAAGGUGUGAUACAAAAGUUGACUCUAAUAAUAAUAUAUGAACCAGGAGAAUGAAUAUAAAAUCCAAAUCCAGUCUAAAACUGUAGACUGACUCCAACAAAAAGGUUGGUCUGGUAGACAGACACACGCAUGGAGAUCAGAACAUUGUUACGUGUAACAGUACGGGGUCCUGAUGGUGCAUCACCAAAGAAGACAGUGUAAAGCGCUUUGGAUAAAAGCACUAUAUAAGUAAGCCAUUUACCAUAAACACCUGCAAGAUGAGGGCUGGAGCAGGUGUUUAAAUGCCUCACUUAUAUAGUGCUUUUAUCCAAAGCGCUUUACACUGUGUCUCAUUCACACAGCAAUAGUAGCAGAGCUGCACUGCAAGGCAGUGACUUGCCAUCGGGAGCAACUCGGGGUUCAGCGUCGUGCCCAAGGACACUUCAGCAUGUGGAGUCACAUGGGCCAGGAAUCGAACCGCCAACCCUACAAUUAGUGGACGACCCGCUCAACCACCUGAGCCACAGCCGCCCUGUUUUUAGGAAGUCUUUAGCGAGACUUUAGCGGGUCUUUAAGGGGUCUUUAACGGGUCUUUAGCAGGUCUUUGGGCUGCCUAAUUCAGGAGCGUUUUCUCUUUGUUGUAGGUCUGAUUUUUCUCCAAGAGAAAAGGGACAGAAUAUACAGAAGGAACUCCAUCAGAAACUGCACCUCUGAGUAACAUCUGUAUGGAGAGUCAGGAUCAGAAUGAUGCUCCAUCUAUAAUUCCUCAUUCUGUGGUUGUAGAUAUAGAUCAACCUUCUGAGCAAAGGGAAAAAACGCCACCAGCUCCAUGUCCAGAUCUCAAUCAGCAGAAAUCAUCUGAACAGCAGAAUCCUGAAGAAGUGAAAGAAACCCCACACGUUGCAGAAUCCAGAGAAGAGGACCCAGGAUCCUGCUCCUCCUCACCAGGGUUCUCCACUGCUGGUUCAACCACUGAUAAACCAAACUUCACUCCCACCACCUCAAAUCCCACACCUGCUGCUACCAUCUCAGAGUCUGCCACUGUCUCCACAACAUCUGCAGGAAGUUUCAGCUCAGCCAAUAAACAUCCUACCAAAAAUGCUGAAAGAAAAAGAAAAAACACCAAAGGGAGAAAGAACAAAGACAGAGCAAAUGAAACAGAAAGCUCUUUUAACAAAGCUAAAGCAAGAGAAAUCAGUACCAGGACAUUUAACAUGGAAAGCAAAGCAGACUGCUCUGAGUCCAAGCAUCUCUGUAAGCAAGAAGCAGUAGAGAGUGAAGAUUUGGUCCAAGUGAAAAAAUUCAAAGUGAACAUCACCAUCGACGGAGAGGAAACUCCAGAGUUCCUGACACACGAGGAAAGGAGGUGAAGUGCUCCACUCCAGUGAAUACAUGGGACAGAAAUCCUGAUGAUGAUAAAAUCUUCACUCUGUGUAAAGAGAAGUUUCACUGUGGUAAACGUUAUUGGGAGGUGAAAGUGAGAGCGUCACAUAAAGAAGAGAAACUGUCCUGGUUCGUUGGUGUAGCGAGUGAUGCAGCUGAGAGAAAGUACAGCGUCCCGUUUACACCACACAAUGAACUCUGGGUUCUCUGCUAUGAAAGAGAAACAGGGCUUUAUAUCGGAGACGAAACAGAACGCAUUUCAGUCCCAGACGUUAAUAAAGAGCUCACAGCAGUGGGAGUGUUUUUAGACUGUGAUAAACACACACUGUCAUUUUAUAAUAUUGAUACACAAUCACACAUCUACACUUUCACUAACGUGGAGCCCAAAACACCUCUGCGUCCUCUGAUCAGCCCCGGAGUCCGAGACAGUCAUCCUGUACGCAUUCUUUAGUAAAGUAAUCUUAUCUGUAUUUCUAUCAUUUGUGAUUAUGAAGUGUACGUAACACAUUCACAACAUCUUCCAUCUCUGAAUAGUGAAAUGAUUCCUCACAGCUGUAAAUACGCUCCUUUAGUACGGCUUACUGUAGUUAGAAAAUACAUUUUUAUGAUAUCGUUACUGAUAUGACAAUAAAGUGUGGACAUGUAAGUUUGCUGCUUUACUGUCGGUUUUCUGUUUUGCUUUGAACUUUGUGAAUGAUUUCAUUAAAAUGGAACAAAUUUUAUAUAUAUAUAUAAAAAAGAGACAUUGCUGUAAUUUCUUGUUUUGUGUGUAAAGUAAGUAGAAGAUGACUGUGGCAGGUUUAACACUUUUAUUAACACAAACUGCAGUAGUUCGUCAGAAUUCAUAUUAUACAUUUCUGUAUAAAGUAUCAUUUGGUUUUGAAAUUCUGAUAUUUAACAGAACUUUAAACACGCAGUAGAGAUGUAUAAUCUGCACUUUAAUCUAGUACAAUAACACAAAGGCCUAAAUAAUCAGAUAUGGCACAUACUAUUAGACUGUCUUGUGCUUCUUUAAUAAUAGAUGUAAUAUAUAAGGAAUAAACAGUGUGCGUUUGUACAGUAAAAUGAUGAAGCACUGUCACGAUUUCAAGGCAGAGACGGAUACCAGUGCAGAUUUACUUUUAAUUAAUAGCACAACAAAACAAGAACUAUAAACACGAUGCAAAACACUGAGGCAAAGACUAAACAUAAACCAAAGACCUUAAACACAGCAGCAUAGACAACGGCAAAGGAAAACAAACGUCAGAUACAGAGUGCAGUGUAAACUGUGCUAUACACAGGAGUGCUUGUUAACAAGAAUGUGAUUCAGGUGCAGGUGGUCACGUGACUGUGAUGCAGUGAGGUGCAGUGGCUGCUGGGAACUGUAGUUCAGAGUUCCUUCUCUAAUACAUGACACAGACUUACA